AUGGGGGUUGAGUCACGGUGUUAUGUGUUCAGCAGUGGCAUCAGGUUAACCAUCCUAGGUCAGCCCAAGUCCACCCCUUCGGUCACUCUGUUCCCUCCAUCAUCUGAGGAGAUGCAAACCAACAAGGCCACAACUGUGUGUCUCAUAAAAGACAUCUAUCCAGGCACCGUGUCUGUGAACUGGAAGGUAGACAGCACUCCCAUCACUCAGGGAGUGGAGACCACCAAGCCCUCCAAACACAGCAACAAGUACGUGGCCAGCAGCUACCUGUUCCUGACACCCAACCAGUGGAAAUCUCACAGCACCUACAGCUGCCAGGCCACACACGAAGGGAGCAUCCUGGAGAAGACGGUGACCCCUGCACAGUGUUCUUAG